rnacentral:rRNA from 1 species
CAGCCGCCGCGGGAAUACAGAGGGUGCGAGCGUUAAUCGGAUUUACUGGGCGUAAAGCGUGCGUAGGCGGCUUCUUAAGUCGGAUGUGAAAUCCCUGAGCUUAACUUAGGAAUUGCAUUCGAUACUGGGAAGCUAGAGUAUGGGAGAGGAUGGUAGAAUUCCAGGUGUAGCGGUGAAAUGCGUAGAGAUCUGGAGGAAUACCGAUGGCGAAGGCAGCCAUCUGGCCUAAUACUGACGCUGAGGUACGAAAGCGUGGGGAGCAAACAGGAUUAGAUACCCCUGUAGUCCCUGUCUCUUAUAC